rnacentral:rRNA from 1 species
GAUCCUGGCUCAAGAUGAACGCUAGCUACAGGCUUAACACAUGCAAGUCGGAGGGGCAGCAUGGUCUUAGCUUGCUAAGACUGAUGGCGACCGGCGCACGGGUGAGUAACACGUAUCCAACCUGCCGUCUACUCUUGGACAGCCUUCUGAAAGGAAGAUUAAUACAAGAUGGCAUCAUGAGUCCGCAUGUUCACAUGAUUAAAGGUAUUCCGGUAGACGAGUGGGGA